rnacentral:misc_RNA from 1 species
CUUUGAAAUGAUUCAAGAUGAUUCGCAUAAUGGAGGGUAUAUCUAAGUAAGUAUGACCAUCUUUAACAAUAGAAGAGAUUAAGUUCUUCCUUCUUCUAUUGGCACAACAAAUAUGAAAGAACCAUGUUUUUUUGUCUCCUAGCCUACACAAGGUGAGCCUUGAUUUGUGGCACCAAAUGCUUUCAUUCCUGGCUAUCCAAGCUUGCACAUCAGCUUUUAAUUAUUGGACGGUGAUCAGUUCUAAAGGAGAGAGGUCUUGAGAUUCUGCUGG